GUGAAACGCUGGCGGCGUGCUUAACACAUGCCAAGUCGAACGAGGUCCAUGGAGCUUGCUCCGGUAAGACCUAGUGGCGAACGGGUGCGUAACACGUGAGGAACCUGCCCUGGACUCUGGGAUAACAGUUGGAAACGACUGCUAAUACCGGAUACCACCGGUGCACCGCAUGGUGCGCCGAUGAAAGAAUUUCGGUCUGGGAGGGUCUCGCGGCCUAUCAGCUAGUUGGAGAGGUAACGGCUCACCAAGGCAUCGACGGGUAGCUGGUCUGAGAGGAUGAUCAGCCACACUGGGACUGAGACACGGCCCAGACUCCUACGGGAGGCAGCAGUGGGGAAUCUUGCACAAUGGGCGAAAGCCUGAUGCAGCAACGCCGCGUGCGGGAAGACGGCCCUAGGGUUGUAAACCGCUUUCAGCAGGGAAGAAACUGACGGUACCUGCAGAAGAAGAUGCGGCCAACUACGUGCCAGCAGCCGCGGUGACACGUAGGCAUCGAGCGUUAUCCGGAUUUAUUGGGCGUAAAGAGCUCGUAGGCGGUUCGGUUAGUCGGGUGUGAAAACUCUGGGCUCAACCCAGAGACGCCACCCCGAUACCUGCUGUGACUAGAGUGCGU
rnacentral:rRNA from 1 species